rnacentral:tRNA from 1 species
AGAAGGAAGUGACAGAGUGGUCAUGUGAUUGGCUUGAAACCAUUAGAUGGGGGUUCAAUUCCUCCCUUCCUCG